rnacentral:rRNA from 1 species
CGCGUAGGCGGCCAUGCGUGUCUCCCGUGAAAUCCCUCGGCUUAACUGAGGACGUGCGGGAGAAACUGCAAGGCUCGAGUCCGGGAGAGGGGGUGGAAUUCCCAGUGUAGCGGUGAAAUGCGUAGAUAUUGGGAGGAACACCGGUGGCGAAGGCGGCCCCCUGGACCGGUACUGACGCUGAGGCGCGAAAGCGUGGGUAGCAAACG